AUAGCGGGAGCUUACCAAAUAAACACUCAGACAUGCACACACAUGCCACAGUUCCACUCUGACGGCUCCACUGACUCACAUUGAUCCUGGCCCACACUUCUGUUACUACCUCCAAUGCCAGCACAGGGGUUGGACCUCUUAGUCACGCCUCUGAUAUAUUCAUACAAAUACUGUUUAAUAGAGGAAGUUGAUCAUUUGUUCACCUGUGAUUUGUCCAGCUGUGUGCAAGAAAAGGAGACAUUUUGCUAAAUGCUUGCACAUAUAUCCUGCAAUUAAUUGUGAUCUUUGUUUAUAUACUCAUACUGGCUGUAAUAGAAGUGAUCAGUGGUGCAACAGGUUGUUUCCUUUUAGUGCUCAGCUUAAACAUCUGUUACCUUCAUGCUAACAGCUGUACAAUCCUAUGACUUGAACUACAUGUCAGCAUGCUAACACUCUAACAGUGACAAUGCUAAUAUGCUAAAAAGGGAACAAUGAUUGAUUAUUAUCUUUGCAUGCUAGCCUGCUAGCAAAAAAAAGCACAGCUGAGGCUGAUGGAUACGUCUUCAGUUUUCAGCAACAAGCUUGUAACUUCUCAACCAUCACACCAUCAGCUUCAGCCUCCUGCCCAGUUUAUCUUGGCACCUCUUCUUGGAGUUUUGGGCAACAAAUCAGCCACCAUGGAGCCAAUUACUUUUUCCUGAAUGUUAGCACAUAAUCCCCAGCUGCAGGAACUACAACCACGCACCUUGUUUCAGCCUUCGAGACCACUUUGAUGCCUGCCAGCUAAGAUUUGUAUCUUAGGAAUGAUUUAAGUCAAUCUGAUGUGUUCAUAAAUAAAUGGAUUCUUCCUGAUGCAGCUGAAA